rnacentral:rRNA from 1 species
GAUGAACGCUGGCGGCGUGCCUAAUACAUGAAGUCGAGCGAACUGAUUAGAAGCUUGCUUCUAUGACGUUAGCGGCGGACGGGUGAGUAACACGUGGGCAACCUGCCUGUAAGACUGGGAUAACUUCGGGAAACCGAAGCUAAUACCGGAUAGGAUCUUCUCCUUCAUGGGAGAUGAUUGAAAGAUGGUUUCGGCUAUCACUUACAGAUGGGCCCGCGGUGCAUUAGCUAGCUGGUGAGGUAACGGCUCACCAAGGCAACCAUGCCUAGCCGACCUGGGAGGGUGAUCGGGCACACUGGGACUGAGACACGGACCAGACGCCUACGGGAGGCAGCAGUAGGCAAUCUUCCGCAAUGGACGAAGUUCUGACGGCGCAACGCCGCGUGAGUGAUGAAGGCUUUCGGGUCGUAAAACUCUGUUGUUAGGGAAGAACAAGUACAAGAGUAACUGCUUGUACCUUGACGGUACCUAACCAGAAAGCCACGGCUAACUACGUGCCAGCCGCCGCAGUAACAC